UGUGGUACACUUCGAUUUUCCCUGG
rnacentral:piRNA from 1 species